rnacentral:rRNA from 1 species
GACGGAGGGUGCUAGCGUUGUUCGGAUUUACUGGGCGUAAAGGGCGCGUAGGCGGCCUGAUCAGUCGGGUGUGAAAGCCCGGGGCUCAACCCCGGAACGGCACCCGAGACGGUCAGGCUGGAGACCGGGAGAGGAGGGUGGAAUAGCCAGUGUAGAGGUGAAAUUCGUAGAUAUUGGCUGGAACACCGGUGGCGAAAGCGGCUCUCUGGCCCGGUUCUGACGCUGAGGCGCGAAAGCGUGGGGAGCAAACAGG